rnacentral:pre_miRNA from 2 species
UACUUUGGCGAUUUAGCUCCAUGACGUGUGCCAGUGCUCAUAAAGCUAGAUUACCAAAGCA